CAUCAAAUCAAAGAUUAACCAUACAAAACAGAAAACACUGGGUCACAGACCCAGGACCGUGACAAUGAUAUGUGUAUCUGACUUCCCUUUAGAAUCAAAACCAUAGCCCUACUUUGAAUCUCGGUAAAAAGCAGAAGUUUCAACUUCCUCUCUUGCGGCACAAUGUAAAUCAGAGGUUCCAAACAUAUUUUUGCAUUGAGGUCAACAUACAGCAAGCUUUGGUCUGAAGAAACUAUCCUUUCUGUCAGUGUAAAGAAGUUUAAUGACACAUUUCAUCUCUGUCUCACUGUAAGAUACAGAUGUGCGGUUUCAUGAACGCAUCUCGACUGGUUAUAGAUUUAUAUAUUUUCUGUUUUAACUGAGAUUUCUGUAGAUGCUGAAAAAUAUGAACGACCACGGAGGAGACAAUUAAAAGUCCAGAAUUUCUGCCCCCUUCACUUUUUCCAGAGCUGUCCAACAGACCAGAUUACAUAGACUGGAUUAUAUGGGUUGUAUAGAUUACAGUUAAUCAUAACAGCAGGAGAUGGAAAUGUCCUGGACAGUGUCUUUUAACACUCUCUCACACUUUUUAAAGAAUCGUUCUCCAUCUCAUCUGUGCCAGUCAACUAUAACCCUCCUGUUUCUUCUGGUUUAUUUUAGUUUCACUGCUGUGGUCUGUUCAGCUACAAAGACUGGAACAACAUUCCUGAAUCCUGUAAAUGCAACCUGGAGGAGGAGGAAGAGGGCAAGUGUCAGACUGUUGGCUACAGAUCUUUAAUGGAGAGAUCAACAUCCAUCUACACCCAAACCUGCUUCCCCAUAAUAAUGCACUACUUCCUGCUGGGUUUUGACAUCGUACUCGGAGUCUUCUUCACUCUGGCUAUUCUGGCAGUGAGUAUUGUUAGCUAUUUAAAGACAAGGUUUCCACAGAGUAAAUGUCCUGUUUCAGUUACUAAUGGCAGC